rnacentral:rRNA from 1 species
UACAGAGGGUGCAAGCGUUAAUCGGAAUUACUGGGCGUAAAGCGUGCGUAGACGGUUAUGUAAGUCAGGUGUGAAAGCCCCGGGCUCAACCUGGGAAUGGCAUUUGAGACUGCAUAGCUAGGGUGCGGAAGAGGGAAGCGGAAUUUCCGGUGUAGCGGUGAAAUGCGUAGAUAUUGGGAAGAACACCGGUGGCGAAGGCGGCUCUCUGGACCGAGACUGACGCUGAGGCGCGAAAGCGUGGGGAGCAAACAGG